rnacentral:rRNA from 1 species
UACGUAGGGGGCUAGCGUUGUCCGGAAUCAUUGGGCGUAAAGCGCGCGUAGGCGGCCAGAUAAGUCCGGUGUGAAAGUCACAGGCUCAACCUGUGAAUGCCGCUGGAAACUGUCUGGCUCGAGUCCGGGAGGGGCGAGUGGAAUUCCCGGUGUAGAGGUGAAAUUCGUAGAUAUCGGGAGGAACACCAGUGGCGAAGGCGGCGAUCUGGGGUAGAUACUGACGCUGAGGUGCGAAAGCGUGGGGAGCAAACAGGG